rnacentral:rRNA from 1 species
CAGUCGCCGCGGGAACAUGUAGGUGGCAAGCGUUGUCCGGAAUUAUUGGGCGUAAAGGGCUCGCAGGCGGUUUCUUAAGUCUGAUGUGAAAGCCCCCGGCUCAACCGGGGAGGGUCAUUGGAAACUGGGAAACUUGAGUGCAGAAGAGGAGAGUGGAAUUCCGCGUGUAGCGGUGAAUGCGUAGAGAUGUGGAGGAACACCAGUGGCGAAGGCGACUCUCUGGUCUGUAACUGACGCUGAGGAGCGAAAGCGUGGGGAGCGAACAGGAUUAGAUACCCCAGUAGUCCCUGUCUCUUAUACC